AAAUAUAAACACAGUAACAGAUAAAAAGAAAAAGAAAAGAGAGAGAUAACGGAACAAAACGGUCGAUCCCCAUGCUCAAAACAGACAUCAAGUGGCAAUUAGGGUUUUGGACAGAGAGAGAGAUCCAUCUUCAUCUUCAAAGACGUUUGAGUUAAAUAAGCACACAAGCAAACAAUUAUGGAGGAUGUGAAACCUAAAUCUAGAAAAAAUGAUUAUUUGGCACGGAAGGAGGAGAAAGAGGAUUCUAAGAGGAUUCAUCGAGAUAGAGACAAGCAGAGGAAUGGAGAGAGGCACAGAGACAGAGAGAAGAGAGAACGCGAAAACAGUAGGUGUUCCGAGAGAGACAAGAGUAGCGAUUCUGAUGACAAGGAAAGGGAGAAAGAGAAGCACAGAGUCAGAGGUAGGGAUGAUAGGGCAACAAGGAGUAGGGUUGAUGAUAGAGAGAGAGUUAAGGACAGGAAGAGAGAUAGAGACAGAGAAGAGAGAGACAGGGAGAGGGACAUAGCGAAAGAGGAGAAGAAGGAGAGGGAGAGGGAGAAGGAGAAGGAGAGGGAGAAGGAGAGGGAGAAGGAGAAGGAGAAGGAGAGGGUUAGGGAGAAAGAUAGAGAAAGAGAAAGUGGGAAGAGGGAACGUGAGAGGGAGAAAGACAGAGAAAGGGAGAGGAGGGAGCGUGACAGAGAAGAGCGAGAAAGGGAGAAGGGCAGGGAGAAGAGGGAGAGGAGGACCAGGGAAAGGGAGAAGCAUAGGGAAUUGAGUAGUGACAGUGAUGAUGACUCAGGGGAGCAUGAUAGUAAACUGCGAAGGAGAGACAAUGACGACUCCAAGGAGAGAGUGCAUGAGCAGAGCAUUAGCAGGUCAAACAGGCACAUGGAUAACAGUGAAGAGAGCCUAAGGAAAAAGAGUGGCAAGGAGGACGGUGAUAAGAACGAGAGUAAAACCCGAGAAGAUGAAUUAGAGGAGGAGCAGAAGAAAUUGGAUGAGGAGAUGGAGAAGAGGAGGAGAAGAGUCCAGGAAUGGCAAGAGCUGAGAAGGAAGAAGGAAGAAACUGAGAGUGAAAAGGGUGGGGAAGAAGCCAAUGUUGAUGAAUCUAAGAGUGGUAAAACCUGGACUCUUGAAGGAGAAUCUGACGACGAAGAAGCACCUCCCACUGGCAAAUCCGAUAUGGACAUUGACCAGGAGGAAAAUGCAAUACCUGAUAAAGAAGCUGGAGAUGCAAUGGUGGUGGACACUGAGAAUGACAUUUCUGCUCCACAAAGUGAGGUUGAUGCUGUUAAUGGGGAUGAGGAAAUUGAUCCAUUGGAUGCUUUCAUGAAUUCUAUGGUCUUACCUGAGGUUGAGAUGCUAAACAAUGCUGUGGUUACUCAGACUGCUGAUGAUAAUAAAGCAGACUCAAAGAAGAAAGAUAAGAAUGAUGAAGGAAUAAAUGGAGGACAGCGGAAGAAAGGCUCUCAUAAAUCUCUAGGGAGAAUUAUUCCUGGAGAAGAUUCUGAUUCAGACCACGGGGACCUUGAAAAUAGUGAAGUUCCUUUAGAAGAUGAGGAUGAUGACGAGUUCAUGAAGAGGGUGAAGAAAACAAAAGCUGAGAAACUGUCCAUUGUUGACCACUCAAAGAUUGAUUACAGUCCUUUCCGCAAGAAUUUCUAUAUUGAAGUGAAGGAGAUCUUGAGGAUGACUCCUGAGGAGGUUACUGCUUAUAGGAAACUACUGGAGUUGAAAAUACAUGGAAAGGAUGUGCCGAAACCAAUUAAAACUUGGCACCAGACAGGACUCACAAGUAAAAUUUUGGAGACAAUAAAGAAACUUAAUUAUGAGAAACCGAUGACAAUUCAAGCUCAGGCACUGCCUAUAAUUAUGAGUGGACGGGACUGCAUAGGCAUUGCGAAAACUGGUUCUGGUAAAACCCUUGCAUUUGUGCUGCCAAUGCUGAGGCAUAUCAAGGACCAGCCUCCUGUAGAAGCUGGAGAAGGACCGAUUGGGCUUAUAAUGGCGCCCACAAGGGAGCUUGUGCAGCAGAUCCACAGUGAUAUUAGGAAGUUUACUAAGGCCCUGGGUAUAAGAUGUGUGCCCGUUUAUGGAGGUUCUGGUGUAGCCCAGCAAAUUAGUGAAUUGAAACGGGGGACAGAGAUAGUUGUCUGUACUCCAGGCAGGAUGAUUGACAUACUUUGCACCAGUGGAGGGAAAAUCACCAAUCUUCGUAGAGUUACAUAUCUGGUUAUGGAUGAAGCCGACCGGAUGUUUGACAUGGGAUUCGAACCUCAAAUCACUAGAAUUGUCCAAAAUAUUCGUCCAGAUCAUCAAACUGUACUCUUUUCUGCCACUUUCCCUCGGCAGGUUGAAACUUUGGCUCGUAAAGUACUGAACAAACCUGUGGAAAUACAGGUAGGUGGGAGGAGUGUGGUGAAUAAGGACAUCAAUCAGCUGGUUGAGGUAAGACCAGAAGGUGAAAGGUGGUUUAGGUUGUUAGAACUACUUGGUGUAUGGAGCGAGAAGGGAAAAAUUUUGGUAUUUGUCCAAUCACAGGACAAAUGUGAUGCGUUGUUUAGGGACUUGCUGAAGUUUGGUCAUCCUUGCCUCUCACUUCAUGGGGCUAAGGAUCAGACGGACCGUGAAUCCACCAUUUCGGAUUUUAAGAGCAACGUCUGCAAUUUGUUGAUUGCAACAAGUGUUGCAGCCAGAGGCUUAGAUGUGAAGGAUCUAGAACUGGUGAUCAAUUAUGAUGUUCCAAAUCAUUAUGAGGAUUAUGUUCACCGUGUUGGUCGGACUGGCCGAGCUGGUCGCAAAGGCUGUGCCAUCACUUUUUUCUCCGAGGAUGAUGCAAGAUAUGCACCGGAUCUUGUAAAAGCAUUAGAACUCUCUGAGCAAGUUGUUCCACAAGACUUGAAAGCCCUUGCUGAUGGUUUUAUGGUGAAAGUGAAUCAGGGUCUGGAGCAAGCCCAUGGAACUGGUUAUGGUGGAAGUGGUUUUAAAUUCAAUGAGGAAGAGGAUGAAAAGAGAAUGGCGGCAAAGAAAGCACAAGCAAGAGAAUAUGGCUUCGAGGAAGAGAAGUCUGAUUCAGAAGAUGAAGAUGAAGUUGUUCGGAAGGCAGGUGGUGACAUCUCACAGCAGACUGCCCUUGCUCAGCAGAUAGCUGCUCUUGCUGCUGUCUCAAAAAUCCCUGCACCCGUGGCACCAACUCCUCACUCUGUUACUCAAUUUCUUUCUAAUGGUGGAUUACCUGUUCCUCUCAAUCAAGGUCCAGCAGUUGCAUCUGUGACUGGGCUGCCUUUUGCUCAUAGUAAUGAAGCUGCAGCCAGGGCAGCAGCAAUGGCAGCCGCCAUGAAUUUGCAACACAACCUGGCAAGGAUCCAAGCUGAUGCAAUGCCUGAACAUUAUGAAGCAGAGCUGGAAAUCAAUGAUUUUCCCCAAAAUGCUCGGUGGAAGGUUACCCACAAGGAAACUUUGGGCCCAAUUUCAGAUUGGACUGGUGCUGCCAUUACCACCAGGGGGCAGUUUUUCCCACCAGGCAAGGUGCCAGGACCAGGAGAUCGCAAGCUGUACCUGUUCAUCGAGGGCCCUACUGAGCAGUCUGUUAAGAGAGCUAAAGCUGAUCUAAAACAUGUUUUGGAAGACAUCACGAACCAAACAUAUCAACUUCCUGGUGGAGCUCAACCAGGCAAAUACUCGGUUGUAUAAGUGUAAGAGCUCAAUAAUAGCCUUCUUUCUUUCUUCUUUCUUCUUUCUUUUUUUUUUGCAUAUACAAUUGUGUUUGAUCUUUUUUUUUUUUUUUGUUUUUUUUUGCAUAUAUCUUUAUAACUUCUACUCUUGUAAUUUUUAAUUUCCUCCUUUUCUUUCUGGUUGAGUUUGGACUUGUAGGCAAUGCCUGAAUGGUAAUUAUCUUAGUUUGAAAAUUGUAAAGUUGCUGAUAUAUUUUUUCUUGACAAUAUGGAUUAUUUUGGUGCAUGGAAAUCGGGGAAGGAUUAGGAUAAUUGGUUCAUGGUGUUUCCCAAAAGCAUUGAGGGAUGAUGAGCCAAAAGCAAAUAACUGUUUCCUUUCUUGUUUAAAUAUGCCCCUCCUCUCAUGCAAUUUCAUAUCCUGUAGCUUCUCAAGUUAGCCAUAAGGUGUUAAAUUUGCUGUCCAUUUCCAUGUCUCUUUUCCAUUUUUUAAUUUGUGUUCUUUCUUUUUCUUCUUGUCCUCUCCCCAUGGCUCGAGGGAUGGUUUAAGCCUAUGCUGGCAUGUCCAAUGUAUUCUCUGCCCCCAUAACCUUUGGCUAUGAUGGCUGUUGAAGAGAUGGCGAUCUGGUCUGAGUAGUAAAGUUCUGGAAGCCACGUGUUACUGUGCUGACACUCUGAGGGGCUUACCCCUCCAAAUGAAGCAUGAACCUGCAUAGAAGGGUGGUAAUGGGCAACAAGGUUACUGUUGGUUUCACAACAUUUCUGAGAUAGAUUACAAGUUUCCUUGGAUUCUUUUUGACCUCGUAAACCACAAAUUAGAUUGUAAUCAGUGGUUCUUCCUGGAUUGGGUUGUCAGCUACUUCUGGCUGUUCAACUGUAAUGAAUCUGCAGCAGCAGCAGCGUAUAUUGUUUAGCUUGAUUAGUGUCCAGUAUGGAUUAGAAAUUAUUCAUGCUGAUAAGCCUUUGUGCUGCUAGCGGGUUUUGUUUUUUA